rnacentral:rRNA from 1 species
GACGAACGCUGGCGGCGUGCUUAACACAUGCAAGUCGAACGGAAAGGCCCUGCUUUUGUGGGGUGCUCGAGUGGCGAACGGGUGAGUAACACGUGAGUGACCUGCCCUUGACUUUGGGAUAACUUCAGGAAACUGGGGCUAAUACCGGAUAGGAGCUCCUGCUGCAUGGUGGGGGUUGGAAAGUUUCGGCGGUUGGGGAUGGACUCGCGGCUUAUCAGCUUGUUGGUGGGGUAGUGGCUUACCAAGGCUUUGACGGCUAGCCGGCCUGAGAGGGUGACCGGCCACAUUGGGACUGAGAUACGGCCCAGACUCCUACGGGAGGCAGCAGUGGGGAAUAUUGCACAAUGGGCGGAAGCCUGAUGCAGCAACGCCGCGUGCGGGAUGACGGCCUUCGGGUUGUAAACCGCUUUCGCCUGUGACGAAGCGUGAGUGACGGUAAUGGGUAAAGAAGCACCGGCUAACUACGUG